rnacentral:tRNA from 1 species
GCGUGCGAUUAGUGCAGGUCAGCACCGGUCAACCUGGGGCACUCCCGACCCACCCGAUCCGCAGGCCAGCCCACCGACGACGGGCAGCAGCCGCCCUUCCAAGCUGGUCAUGCGGGUUCGAUUCCCGUCACCCGCUCCA